rnacentral:rRNA from 1 species
ACAUGCAAGUCGAGCGGUAGCACAGAGAGCUUGCUCUCGGGUGACGAGCGGCGGACGGGUGAGUAAUGUCUGGGAAACUGCCUGAUGGAGGGGGAUAACUACUGGAAACGGUAGCUAAUACCGCAUAACGUCGCAAGACCAAAGUGGGGGACCUUCGGGCCUCAUGCCAUCAGAUGUGCCCAGAUGGGAUUAGCUAGUAGGUGGGGUAACGGCUCACCUAGGCGACGAUCCCUAGCUGGUCUGAGAGGAUGACCAGCCACACUGGAACUGAGACACGGUCCAGACUCCUACGGGAGGCAGCAGUGGGGAAUAUUGCACAAUGGGCGCAAGCCUGAUGCAGCCAUGCCGCGUGUGUGAAGAAGGCCUUCGGGUUGUAAAGCACUUUCAGCGGGGAGGAAGGCGGUGAGGUUAAUAACCUCAUCGAUUGACGUUACCCGCAGAAGAAGCACCGGCUAACUCCGUGCCAGCAGCCGCGGUAAUACGGAGGGUGCAAGCGUUAAUCGGAAUUACUGGGCGUAAAGCGCACGCAGGCGGUCUGUCAAGUCGGAUGUGAAAUCCCCGGGCUCAACCUGGGAACUGCAUUCGAAACUGGCAGGCUAGAGUCUUGUAGAGGGGGGUAGAAUUCCAGGUGUAGCGGUGAAAUGCGUAGAGAUCUGGAGGAAUACCGGUGGCGAAGGCGGCCCCCUGGACAAAGACUGACGCUCAGGUGCGAAAGCGUGGGGAGCAAACAGGAUUAGAUACCCUGGUAGUCCACGCUGUAAACGAUGUCGAUUUGGAGGUUGUGCCCUUGAGGCGUGGCUUCCGGAGCUAACGCGUUAAAUCGACCGCCUGGGGAGUACGGCCGCAAGGUUAAAACUCAAAUGAAUUGACGGGGGCCCGCACAAGCGGUGGAGCAUGUGGUUUAAUUCGAUGCAACGCGAAGAACCUUACCUGGUCUUGACAUCCACAGAACUUUCCAGAGAUGGAUUGGUGCCUUCGGGAACUGUGAGACAGGUGCUGCAUGGCUGUCGUCAGCUCGUGUUGUGAAAUGUUGGGUUAAGUCCCGCAACGAGCGCAACCCUUAUCCUUUGUUGCCAGCGGUUAGGCCGGGAACUCAAAGGAGACUGCCAGUGAUAAACUGGAGGAAGGUGGGGAUGACGUCAAGUCAUCAUGGCCCUUACGACCAGGGCUACACACGUGCUACAAUGGCAUAUACAAAGAGAAGCGACCUCGCGAGAGCAAGCGGACCUCAUAAAGUAUGUCGUAGUCCGGAUUGGAGUCUGCAACUCGACUCCAUGAAGUCGGAAUCGCUAGUAAUCGUAGAUCAGAAUGCUACGGUGAAUACGUUCCCGGGCCUUGUACACACCGCCCGUCACACCAUGGGAGUGGGUUGCAAAAGAAGUAGGUAGCUUAACCUUCGGGAGGGCGCUUACCAC